CAUCUCCCUUACACUGAGAAGACGUCUGUGCAAACCAGACCUGUCUG
rnacentral:tRNA from 1 species